CGGUGAUCUGGAGGACGGCCUGCUCGCCGUCGCCGAUGACGGCGCAGUCGAUGAACUCGGCGAUCGGCUCGGGGUUGAACGCCGCGUGGCCGCCC
rnacentral:tRNA from 1 species